rnacentral:rRNA from 1 species
UCGGGAAUUUUGGGCAAUGGGCGAAAGCCUGACCCAGCAACGCCGCGUGCAGGAUGAAGGCGUUAUGCGUUGUAAACUGCUUUUAUAUAGGAAGAAAUAGUCCUUGCGAGGAAAGUUGACGGUACUAUAUGAAUAAGCACCGGCUAACUCCGUGCCAGCAGCCGCGGUAAUACGGAGGGUGCAAGCGUUGUCCGGAUUUAUUGGGUUUAAAGGGUGCGUAGGCGGUUUAUUAAGUCAGUGGUGAAAGACGGUCGCUCAACGAUUGCAGUGCCAUUGAUACUGGUAGACUUGAGUAUGAUUGAGGUAGCUGGAAUGGAUAGUGUAGCGGUGAAAUGCAUAGAUAUUAUCCAGAACACCAAUUGCGUAGGCAAGUUACUAAGUCAUAACUGACGCUGAGGCACGAAAAGUGUGGGUAUCAAACAGGAUUAGAUACCCACGUAGUCCCUGAGCGGGCUGGCAAGGCGCAU